UCCUGGUUUCCCAGGCAGUCCGACUAGAGUGCGUCCGAAGACUAGCAACUAAUCGCAAGGGUUGCGCUCGUUAAAGGACUUAACCUAACAUCUCACGACACGAGCUGACGACAGCCAUGCAGCACCUGUACCACUGUCUUGGUAAACCAAGAACGAUCUAUCUCUAGACCUGUCAGUGCUAUGUCAAACCCAGGUAAGGUUUCUCGCGUAGCGUCGAAUUAAACCACAUGUUCCACCGCUUGUGCGGACCCCCGUCAAUUUCUUUGAGUUUUAGUCUUGCGACCGUACUCCCCAGGCGGAUCACUUAACGCGUUAGCUGCGAUACCGAGCUCCUUAACGGAACCCGACAUCUAGUGAUCAUCGUUUACAGCGUGGACUAC
rnacentral:misc_RNA from 1 species